CUCAUAUAUCCGACCAUUCUCCACCAGAAUUAUGAUUUAUUCUCAAGAAGGCAGAGAAAUAUUUAGAAUGAAAGGUAAGGUGGACGUAUAAUGUGUGUAUUUAUUUGCGGAAUCAGAAUUUAAUAUUGAAUAAUUCAAGAUGUGAAGAUUCAAACCCCAUUUGAGACACAUUAUUAAAAAAAAUGAGAAUGAAAAAUAUAGCCGUUAUGGUUUAUACACGAGAUAAAAAGUCAAAUAUAGUGGCUUGAUGUAAUGAAUAACGGUCAUAUUUUUCAUUUUAAUGAGGAAAUAAUGAGGUUUAAACAGGGCAUCACAUGAAUUGGCAUCAUUAUGUAAUUUCCAUAAAAUAGCAUCAUCUCAGUGUACAAUGUUGAUGACAAAUAUGAUCAAGCAAAAUAACAGGAAACCGCAAUCAAGAUAUGUUUCGAUAAAGAUUUAUGAACUCCCAAGGGAAAAGGAUAUGCACGAUGUAGCUAUAAAUUGAUUAAAACCAUGCAUACUGCCAAUUUUAUAUUAGCAUACAAGAAGAUCAUGGUCAAAUUGUAUUAGAUCAGGCAACGGUUAAUAAAUAAAUUAAGUGGAAGAGUACAUAUGUUUCAUUCGUAAAGCAGUGAAAGACUGUAAAGAAAACAAUUCAAAUGAGUUAAUCUACUAAACAAGAAGAAACUGAUAUACUAUAGUUCAGGCAGGCUGAGUGAUGGACUAGCCAAUCAGCCAGUCUUCUCCAAACCAAUCACAAGCUGAAUGCCCACAAACUAACUAGAUUGGACAAACUAGACGCAGCUCACCAAGAAAUAUCCAUUGAGUUGGAUGUACCACCAUGACUGACCAGAGGUCAAUCUUAAGACUCAAACCGAAACCCUGUUUACUGAUCGGGCUGAUACCGGCAUAGACCAAACCCAACUAAGUUGUUGCCCACAAGAUUUCCAAGACCACAUCCAGCACAAAGCCCAGUAGCUAAAGACCAUUCAAAUUACUGGUUCAUGAAGUCAGAUAGUGGAACCAGGAAUAUCUCUCUAGACUGGAGAUAGUGUGGAUAAGAGCAACUCAUACGCCAAAACACACUCCACCAAAAAGGAAUCUUGCGGCAAGAGAAGAAAACAACCUUCCGCGUAAUUCAUUCUACACUCAUAAAUAGUGGUUGGCUAGCUCACUCCGAAACUCUGCCAAAUAACUUUCCUAGCAUUAUCUCAGAGUACAACAGGUUUGUCCUACAAUGGUCUCAAGGAUUUUCUAAUGCAUUUUCUGGUUAGUAAAUUUUCUACAUCUACCAUAAGAAUCAUGUCUAUUGGUUCCUUAUGUAUCCACAUCAGUAUUUUGAUAAAUGGGGAACCAGGUUAUGAAGCCCUGCAAGCACAAAGAAUAAAAAAGAACAUCGAUGAUAACCGAUGAGUGGUAUAAAGAGGAAAACAUUGGUCAUAAUUAUGGAACCCACACUUAAUUAAUUAGUAUAUCAGGUAAAUUUAUCGAAACCUAGGAAUACCAAGUGGAUAGCCAUCGGAAUCCCUAACCUAUAAAACAUUGUGAGAAAGGGUAUAAAUUUAUAUGGAUAAACAUAAGAUGACUCUAUAAAAGACUUUGUGCUAUAUGAAUGCCAAUAAGUAAGAGCAUCAAACACAUUAAAUGGUCUAUUGUUCUGCUAGCUAAUUUAAUGUGAGAACAAAUCAAUAAAUAAAUAUACAUACUUCAUGUCAGCUAAAUGAUAUUGCAAGUCUAUAUACUUCCAUCCUAUAGUUACAAAAGUUUAAUUAUGAUACUUUCCUUUCCUUUUCUACUAGGGAUUCAAAAACUAUAUGAGUAAGGUACUAAAUUUUUGAGAAUUCGACAGAUUGAAAUUUCCCCUUCCAAUUCUUCUAUCUUCGUCUCUUCUCUUCUUUCUUAAACUCUCUGUUCUGCACCAAACAUCACUAUGGCCAUCUUAUUCUUAUUCUAAAAGAUUCUUGUCCUAAAAUUUGACAAUGCACCAGGAAAUUAAGUUUGGUUCAGCAAAAUAAAUCGGUUACUCAAUCAACAAAACAAGAAUAAUUACCGUCUCUUUUCGCCCAACAAACUAGUUUCGCCAAUCACGAUAUGUGAAGGAUGGAAGGAUAACGAAAUGCAGAGCAAUCGAUUCAGCAGGCAAUAAACCAGGGAGUUUUUUUUCAAAAAACAACUGAGGAGAUUGGUUCCAUUACGACUCCAACAAUUCAAUACUUGUUUGCAAAACCAAA
rnacentral:lncRNA from 1 species